rnacentral:lncRNA from 1 species
CAAACAGAUCUCUAGGAAGAGGCAUUUCUAUGGAAACAGAAGGAAAACAAAGGUCCUGGGUUCCCUUGACCGUGGCUUCCAGAAGAGCAGAGCUUUGGAGUCCUGAUGACAGUGCCAAAACUGUGGGGCCAAGAGAUAACUCUCCCUUCACCCUCAAGUUUCACUGAAACAUCAACCGACAAAAACCAGAUUAAUAGGAGAAAUGGCAUACAAAUGUGUUAAGGUGCGUGGAGGGAAUAUCCCAGAGUGGUUACCCCAACCCCUCAAUGGUGUACAGAGCUUAUACACCAUCCUGAGUUUCCAAAAAGAAUGAAGCUCACAGCAUAUGCAAAACCAGGGAUGGUGGUGAGUCAGGCUCUAGUGCCAAGAUGAGUUACAGGAGCUAGAGAAGACAAGGUCUGGCCUGCAACGCUGGUCUUGUGGUAUAGAUGAAACCUCACAUUAGCAGCCCUCAGAGAGAAGGGAAGGCAAAUGUUCCUCUCUGACCUUCACGGUGUCAGACUCUCACGUAAUCUUUUCUAGGAUCCUUCCCAAGGACGGGCCUCAGAGAAAGCCUGGCUUCGUCAAAGCGGCUUCUCUAUAGAGGCGAAUCUCCCCACAAAAGGCAGCAUGGCAGGGCUACCUCUGUCUGCAGGCCCUCUGACAGGCACCUCCAAAUAUGUCCAAGGAGUACAUUUUCAGAUAAAAUAUUUUGAUUUUCUUCAUCAUCCAGUAUGACUGAUGUCCUUAUAAAAAGAGGAAAUUAGGACCCAGGCAGGCAGAUAGGAAAACCCUCAUGACAACGCAAGGGGAAAAGCGGCCACGUGCAAGCUAAGGAAGCGGCCUCAGGAGAAACCCACCUGACCACACCUCGAUCUGGACUUCAGCUCCAGAAUGUGCGGCAACAGACUUCUGCUAUCUGAGUCCCCGGUCGGUGGUGCUUCGUUACAGUAGCCUGAGGUGACUCCUGAAGACGGGGUGUGUAACUGCCUUUGCAAAAUUAUGACAGUAAGAUAAAUCUGACAUAGCUGACUGCAUCUCGCUUCUGGCCUCCAAGUGAGACCAAGUAGAGGUGGAGUUUCAUCCCCACCAGAGCGUUCCCGCUGGUCACAAAACCCACAGCACUACCUCACUGACACCGCGUUUAACCGUGCCUUUUACUAAAGAAUUCCAGAAACUGGCCUUAGGAGAUAACCAAGGUUGUGGAGUGUCCCGCCUCAGGAAGGAAUGCUGAACAAUUGAUUCGUAGCCUUGUGGCUGUUGGCCAGACCACCAGGUGACCUAUUAUUAAUCAAGAGAACCAUUACAACCAAAUAAUGCUGACCUGCAUACCCUACCCUUCAGGUGCUUCGCCCAGCCCAGCCUGCGCACAUGUCAGUUCCCAUGCUUUGCCUAACAAAAAAGGCCCACCAG